UUAACCAGUUUGCGUCCCUGUCUUUCUGCAGCGCCCUAGUCCUGCAGGAUGAACUCCAGCCGCCAAGUGGUCAGUCGGCUGUUGCUGUCACUUCUGCAAAAGCCAAGCCGCUUCCCUGCCACGAGCAGCCGCCCCAGUAAAGCGCCUUAUCACCAUUCUUUCCCUGCUAUUCUACUUACAAAUGCGGAGACCAAACCCCUUCAUCAACUUGCAUUUCUAACCCUUUUUGGGAGCGGGGCGGAGGGGGUUGGAAGCAGCAGAAAGAAGGAAAUCGCCAUCCUAACCUGAAUUGCUCCAACUAAAUUGAUCGAGGAAGCAAAUGACAAAAAAGCAAAGUCCAGCGUCCAAGCGGGGCGCAGGAAGUUUGCUCACCUUUAAUGCCAUAGGCGCCGCAAAUCAGCACUCCUGAGACGAGUCCGGGAGCGAAGAAGCCCCAAUCAACUAACCAAAAGGCAACCAAACCCCAACUUUGAGCGCCUUUCGCUAGGAUUCUGGGAAGGCGUCACUUCCUAGCGUGAUAUAUGGAGAACUGAAUUUAAGAAGGAAAAGUGAAGAAUGGAGAGAACCAAAAUUAACAGAUUCUUCCAUCCCUAGAUCCAACAGAUCUGUGGCUAUCUCAGACGGAUUGGUCUGACAAUAGAAAUAUCAUGUGUAAAAUGGCCUUGACUUUGGCCUAAACACCAGAAACAGAAGGAUUUUCUGCUGCAUUGUUAUCUUCUGUAAACAUGCCAGAAAACUGUUAAGUUUAGUCAAAGAUGCCAAUGAAUAUGCCAAUGAAGACGAUUAAUUAUACUUGUCACAUAUUAGAAUAAUUAUUCCUCUGAUAGCAUACCUUGUCUCCCCUAACAGGAUUAAAUGGUUAGCACUU